rnacentral:lncRNA from 1 species
AGAACUGCACUACAUGACCAGAUCCCAGAGGGUGGUUGUCUGGAGGAGAGGAAUGUUGCCUGGUGUAAUCAUGGACCUUCUAUCUGCUUAUGGUGUUUUCAACAUCAGCAGAGCUGAAGUCAUAUCAAGGGGAUAGAGAAAUUCUACUUUUCUCACACAACUUUAGCAACUGGAAGCUUAUCUCUGGCUGAUUCUGGCAAAGGAAGAAGAAAGGAUGCAAUGUGAUGAAUUGUUUCUAAAGGUGUAAGCCUGAAGCUGGAAUAAUUGUAAAGACAUAAUGCUGUUGUCCUUCAGCAUUUUUAGUUUGUGGAUUCAAUCUUGAAAAUAUAUUGGUCUACAAUCAGCUGCAGUUGGAGGCUCCCACUGAGAAGAAUGAAAACAGUGAGUGAAUCCUGCACCAGCAACUAAGGUAUCUAGGUUCUCUCAUUGGGACUGACUAGGAGGUUGGCACAACCCAAGGAGAGCAGGGAAAAGCAGGGUAGAGCGACGGCCCAUCCAGGAGCUGAAUGGGGCAAGGGGAACUCCCACUCCCAACCAAGGGAGGUGUUGAGUAAUUGUGCUGCCUCACCCAGGAAACCAUGUUUUUUUCCAUGGAUUUGUGCAAUUGUACAUCAGGAGAUCCCCUUGUAAGCUCAUGCUAUAAGGUCCUUGGGUCCUAAGCACAGAGCUGUGCAGAUUCUCAGUAGCUGCUUGGCUGAAGACUGCCUAAGACUACCCAGUUCCUGGGGGCAUGGGUGGCUGUCAUCACCGUGGCUGCCUGCUGCCUAAGAUGACUGAGCUCCCGAGGGGAGAGACAGCAGCCAUCACUGUAGCUCCAGUUGGCCUUUUUCUCUUGCCAGUGCUGGGGAGACUGGGUGAUUUGGCCCCAGGAGGAAUUCCCCACAGUGCAGCACAGCAGCUGUGGCAGACUGUGGCCAGACUGACUCUUUAGGCCGUACCAGGAGCCAUCCCUCCUCAUCAGACAGGGUCUGGGAAUUUCAGCAACUAUAGCCAGGGGUUUAGGGACAGAACUUUAAUCUCCCUGGGAUGGAGGCCCUGCAGGGAGAGGCAGCUGGAGUCCCCAUGGAUCAGCAGACUUAGUCUUUUCCCUUACUGGCUCUGAGGAAUCCGGGCAGUCCAGACAAGUGGGAUUCCCCCAAGCGCAGAGCUCCUCGUCCACCAAGGGGCAGCCGGAGUGCUUCAUUAAGCAGGUCCCUGGUCUUGCGCCUCCUGACUGGGUGAGACCCCCCAACAGGGGUUGCCAGACACCUUAUACUGGAGCAUUCCUGCUGGCAUCAGGCUGGUGCCUCUCUGGGAUUGAGCUCCCAGAGGAAGGAGCAGGCAGCCAUCUUUGCUGCUGUGCAGCCUCCACUGGUGACACCUCCAGGUGUGGGAGGGACCCAGGCAAAUAGGAUCUAGAGUGGCCCCCCCAGCAAAUCACAGCAGCCCUACAGAAGAGGGGCCAGACUGUUAAAAGAAAAACAAACAAACAGAAGGCAACAAAAACAACACAGUCAACAAAAAAGUACCCAUAAAAACUCCAUCCACACGUCAGCAACCUCAAAGAUCAAAGGUAGAUAAACUUGUGAAGAUGUGAAGAAUCAAUGAAAAAACACACUGAAAACUCAAAAGCCAGAGUUCCUCUUCUCUUCUAGAUGAUGACAACACCUCUCCAGCAAGGAGCCAGAACUGGGCUGAGGCUGAGCUGGAUGAACUGGCAGAAACAGGCUUCAAAAUGUGGGUAAUAAUGAACUUUGAUGAGCUAACAGAGUAUGUUCUAUCCCAGUGCAAAGAAGUUAAGAACCAUCAUAAAAUGUUAGAGGAACAUAAACGACUUGAUAGAGCUGAAAAACACAACAUGAGAACUUCACAAUGUAAUCACAAGUAUCAAUAGCCGAAUAGACCAAGCAGAGGAAAGAAUAUCAGAGCUUGAACACUAUCUUGCUAAAAUAAGACAGGCAGAAAAGAUUAGAGAAAAAAAAUGAAAAGGAAUGAACAAAACCUCCAAGAACUAUGGGAUUAUGUAAAAAGACUGAACCUAUAACUGAUUAGGGUACCUGAAAGAGGCAGGGAAAAUGGAACCAACUUGGAAAACAUACUUCAGGAUAUCAUCUAGGAGAACUUUCCCAACCUAGCAAGGCAGGUCAACCUUCAAAUUCAGGAAACACAGAGAACUCCAGUAAGAUACUCCAAGAGAAAUCAACCCCAAGACACAUAAUCAUCAGAUUCUCCAAGGUCAAAUGAAUAAAAAAAGUUAAGGGCAGCCAGAGAGAAAGGCCAAGUCACCUACAAAUGGAAGCCCAUCAGACUAACAGCAGACCUUGCAACAGAAACCCUAUGGCCAGAAGAGAUUAGGGGCCAGUAUUCAACAUUCUUAAAGAAAAGAAUUUCCAACUGAGGAUUUCAUACCCAGCCAAACUUUCCUUCAUAAAUGAAGGAGAAAUAAAGUCCUUUUCAGGCAAGCAAAUGCUGAGGGACUUUCACACCACCAGGACUGCCUUGCAAGAGCUCCUGAAGGAAGCACUAAAUGUAGAAAGGAAAAAACAUUACCAGCCACUACAAAAACAAACUGAAGUACACAGACCAACAACACAAUGAAGUAACUACAUAAACAAGACUAUAAAAUAACCAGCUAGCAUCAUGAUGACAGGAUCAAAUUCACAUGUAACAAUAUUAACCUUAAAUGUAAAUGGGCCCAGUUAAGACACACAAUGGCAAGCUUGAUAAAGAGUCAAGACUCAUUGGUGUGCCGUAUUCAAGAUACCCAUUUCACAUGCAAAGACACACAUAGGCUCAAAAUAAAGGGAUGGAGGAAAAUCUACUAAGCAAAUGGAAAGCAAAAAAAAACAAAAAAACAAAAACAAAAACAAAAAAAAACAAAAAAAAAAACAGGGGUUGCAAUCCUAGUUUCUUACAAAACAGACUUUAACCAAGAAAGAUCAAAAAAGACAAGGAAGGACAUUACAUAAUGGUAAAGGGUUCAAUUCAACAAGAAGAGCUGACUAACCUAAAUAUAUAUGCACCCAAUACAGGAGCACCCAGAUUCAUAAAACAAGCUCUUAGAGACCUUCAAAGAGACUUAGACUCCCACACAAUAAUGGUGAAAGAUUUAACACCCUGUUGUCAAUAGUAGACAAAUCAUCAAGAUAGAAAAUUAACAAAGAUAUUCAGGAUUGAACUCAGCUUAGUCAAGUGGACUUGACAGAUAUCUACAGAACUCUCCACCCAAAAACAACAGAAUAUACCUUUUUCUCAGUGCCACAUGGCACUUACUCUAAAAUUGAUAACAUAAUUGGAAGUAAAACAAUCUUCAGCAAACGCAAAAGAACUGAAAUCAUAACAAACAGUCUCUCAGACCACAGAGCAAUCAAAUUAGAAGAUUAAGAAACUCACUCAAAACCACAAAACUACAUGGAAUUUAAACAACCUGCUCCUGAAUGAUACCCGCUGGUGAUACCCAGGCAAACAGCAUCUGGGGUGGACCUCCAGCAAACUCCAACACAUCUCCUGGGUAAAUAAUGAAAUUAAGGCAGAAAUCAAGAAGUUCUUUGAAACCAAUGAGAGCAAACAAACAAUGUACAGAAUCUCUGGGAUGCAGAUAAAGCAGUGAUAAGAGGAAAAUUUAUUGCACUAAAUGCCCACAUCAAAAAGCUAAAAAGAUCUCCAAUCUACAUCCUAACAUCACAAUUAAAAGAACUAGAGAACCAAGAGCAGACCCCAAAGCUAGCAGAAGACAAAAAAUGUCCAAGAUGAGAGCAGAACUGAAGGAGAUAGAGACACAAAAGACUAUUCAAAAAAUCAAUGAAUCUAGUAGCUGUUUUUUCAAAAAAAUUAAUAAUAUGGAUAGACUGCUAGCUUGAUUAAUAAAGAAGAAAAGCGAAAAGAAUCAAACAGAUACAACAAAAAAUGAUAAAGGGGAUAUCACCACUGACCCAACAGAAAUACAAACUGCCAUCAGAUAAUACUAUAAACACCUCUAACCUAAUAAACUAGAAAAUCCAGAAGAUAUGGAUAAAUUCCUGGACACAUACACCCUCCCAAGACUGAACCAGGAAUAAGUUGAAUCCCUUAAUAGACCAAUAAAAUGUUCUGAAAUUGAGGCAGUAAUAGUCUACCAACCAAAAAAAGCCCCGGACCAGGCAGGUUUACAGCUGAAUUCUACCAGAACUACAAAGAGGAGCUGGUACCAUUUCUUCUAAAACUAUUCCAAACAAUUGGAAAGGAGGGAAUCCUCUGUAACUUAUUUUAUGAGGUCAACAUCAUCCUGAUACCAAAACCUUGCAGAGAUACAACAACAACAAGAAAACUUCAGGCCAAUAUCCCUGAUGAACAUCAAUGCAAUAAUCUUCAAUAAAAUACAAACCAAAUCCAGCAGCACAUCAAAAAGAUUAUCUACCACAAUCAAGUUGGCUUCAUCCCUGAGAUGCAAGGCUGGUUCAACAUAUGCAAACCAAUAAACAUAAUUCAUCACAUGAACAGAACUAAAGACAAAAACCAUGUGAUCGGUCCAUUCCAAGAUGGUGGAAUAGGAAGAGCUCCAGUCUGCAGCUCCCAGUGUGGUCCACGCAGAAGAUGGGUGAUUUCUGCAUUUCCAACUGAGGUACCUGGUUCAUCUCAUUGGGACUGGUUGGACAGUGGGUGCAUCCCACGGAGGGCGAGCCAAAGCAGGGUGGGGCAUUGCCUCACCUGGGAAGUGCAAGGGGUCAGGGGAUUUCCCUCUUCUAGCCAAGGGAAGCCAUGACAGAUGGUACCUGGAAAAAUGGGACCCUCCUGCCCAAAUACUGUGCUUUUCCAACAGUCUUAGCAAACGGCACACGAGAUUAUAUCCCAUGCCUGGCUCGGUGGGUCACAUGCCCAUGGAGCCUUGCUCCCUUCUAGCACAGCAGUCUGAGAUCCA